UACGGAGGGUGCAAGCGUUUGUCCGGAUUUAUUGGGCGUAAAGAGCGUGUAGGCGGCCUUACAGGUCAGCUGUGAAAACUCGAGGCUCAACCUCGAGACGUCGGUUGAAACCGUAUGGCUAGAGUCCGGAAGAGGAGAGUGGAAUUCCCGGUGUAGCGGUGAAAUGCGCAGAUAUCAGGAGGAACACCGAUGGCGAAGGCAGGUCUCUGGGCAUUAACUGACGCUGAGGAGCGAAAGCAUGGGGAGCGAACAGG
rnacentral:rRNA from 1 species